GGGGCCUUAGCUCAAUUGGCAGAGCAGCGGACUUUUAAUCCGCGGGUUCAGGGUUCGAUCCCCUGGGGCCCUA
rnacentral:tRNA from 1 species